rnacentral:rRNA from 1 species
AGCAGCCGCGGUAAUUCCAGCUCCAAUAGUGUAUAUUAAAGUUGCUGCGGUUAAAAAGCUCGUAGUUGGAUUUCGGAGUUGUUAUCUGAACCUUCUCGCCAUAAAAAGUGGGGGGGCUAAGGUAGCAGUAGUUUUCAUCAUAGUCCACCAGGAUACUCUCUUGGUGUGUACUGGGUGUUAACCUCCUUUUUUUCUGGUACUUGCUAUCCAGCAAUGGGUAGUUUUGUCCAGAUAGUUUACUUUGAAAAAAUUGAGUGUUCAAAGCAGGCAUAAUUGGCAUCAUGAAUACAUUAGCAUGGGAUAAUAGAAUAUGACAUUGGUCUUAUUUUGUUGGUUUCUAAGGCCAAAGUAAUGAUUGAUAGGGAUAGUUGGGGCCGCUCGUAUUGAGUUGUCAGAGGUGAAAUUCUAGGAUUUACUCAAGACGAACUAAUGCGAAAGCAUUCGGCAAGGAUGUUUCAUUAAUCAAGAACGAAAGUUGGGGGAUCGAAGAUGAUCAGAUACCGUCGUAGUCUCAACCAUAAACUAU